GCCUCAUUAGCUCAGGGGUAGAACAGUAGUUCGUAAACUAAAGGUCGUCGUGAGUUCGAAUCUCUCAUGAGGCU